AAAAUGUUCAACGAAUGAUUUACAAUGCUUUUCGCUUGUUUGUUUUCUAAUUUUAAAUGCGAGUCCAGCCACAUUUUGUUGUCGUGUACAUGCCUAUCUGAUUCUACACAUCUACGGGUAUCUCUAUCUGUAUCUGUAUCUGUAAAUGUAUCUGUAUCUUGUAUUUGCCCGUUUCCGUUUUCGAGGAGAGUUUCGUUUUCUUUUUGGCAUUGAAUUCGCAUUCGCGUUGACUGGGCUUAUCAGCCUUUGGCUCGAAAUGCGUCAGCGUUUGCGGGCACUUGACGGCUUUUUACUUUUCAUUUUUAUCACAGACAUGCCAGCGAGUUGCAGCACUGCUCAAAACACAAAACUGCUCAAAACUCGAAACCCACCUGCCCCUCAGUCGGAGUGACUAGUUAAUCAUUGCCGGAUUCGCCUCGUCCGGCGGCAGGUGCCUCCAAAGUGUCAAGAUGAUCUCGUAACGCGACUCUCAAUUAGCCGGCCACACCUGACAGCUGCAGAUUGAGCUGUGAGGCGAGAACUCAGUCGAGAAAGCUUUUCAAAUACUUCUGCCGCACGAGCUGAACGAUCUGAACGAUCUGAGAUGUGCCAGGUUCCUUUAGUUCUUUAGGCUUUGUUCCAGAUGAAAUGAUUUUUCGAUCGAUUGAGCUGAUGACCACAGACUUAGCAACAGACUUAAAUUAUAGAGCAUCAAGUGGGCUGCUAUUCCGGAAUGCCACAUUAAUAGCUGUAGACUUGUAACUUGAUUUAAAGUAAAUUGUUUUGAGAUGUGUGUCAUGUGUGAAAUUGUAUAUGUACAUUCCAAGUUCCGCACACUUCACACGCCUCUGUUUGAA